UGCCUUCACCCUCACUCACGCAACACACACCCUCAUCCUCACUCAACACACGCGAAACAGGAAAUAAAUUGGAAAGGGGGAGAACGGGAAGAUGAAGAGAAGAGAGGGAAGGAAGGAGAGGAUGACGCCGGCUAGGGCUCCGCCGCCGUCGUUGUCGAGAGAGAGAGAGAGAGAGAGAGAGAGAGAGAGAGAGAGAGAGAGAGAGAGAGAGGAAGAGAGAAAACGUGAUGGAGGAGAGAAGAAGGGGGUGCUCGGUCGCCAUGUAGCUCCACCGCCACUGCUAGGGCUUGUUGCCAUCGCCGUUCUGCCACCGUCGGGCUGCUGUGCUGCCGCCAAGGAACUUGAAGGGAUGUCUCGCCGCCGUCGUGCUCUGUCGCCAAGCCGUUGCGUCGCCGCUCAUCUCUUCUUCACCGUCGCCGCCCAUCACCAUCGUUGUAUCCUCUGUCACCAAGCUCCUCUUUAGGUGUUUGCAGUCACACGAUUUUGAUGUUAUUAGUGUCUUUUCUGCUAACACGAUGAAUCUCAUACAGAAUCUUGGCAAAUAGACAUUCUGCAAAAAGAUCGAGAGCGAGGAAGCUGCAAUACAUAUCAGAGUGAGGAAGCUGCAAUACAUAGACAUUCUUGUUUGUUUUUCCUAAUUUAUUAGUAGUAAACUCUAAGAUAUGAGUAUGCUUAUUCUAGUAUGAGAUGUAUGAAUACUCAAAAUUAUGAUCAUCCUAAUAUUUUUGGUUCAUUAUAUAAAUAUAUUUUGUUUCAGG